GACGAACGCUGGCGGCGUGCUUAACACAUGCAAGUCGAACGCUGAAGCCUAGCUUUUGUUGGGUGGAUGAGUGGCGAACGGGUGAGUAACACGUGAGUAACCUGCCCCCUUCUUUGGGAUAACGCCCGGAAACGGGUGCUAAUACUGGAUAUUCACUGAUCUUCGCAUGGGGGUUGGUGGAAAGGUUUUUUCUGGUGGGGGAUGGGCUCGCGGCCUAUCAGCUUGUUGGUGGGGUGAUGGCCUACCAAGGCUUUGACGGGUAGCCGGCCUGAGAGGGUGACCGGUCACAUUGGGACUGAGAUACGGCCCAGACUCCUACGGGAGGCAGCAGUGGGGAAUAUUGCACAAUGGGCGAAAGCCUGAUGCAGCGACGCCGCGUGAGGGAUGGAGGCCUUCGGGUUGUAAACCUCUUUCGCUCAUGGUCAAGCCGCAACAUUGGUUGUGGUGAGGGUAGUGGGUAAAGAAGCGCCGGCUAACUACGUGCCAGCAGCCGCGGUAAUACGUAGGGCGCGAGCGUUGUCCGGAAUUAUUGGGCGUAAAGGGCUUGUAGGCGGUUGGUCGCGUCUGCCGUGAAAUCCUCUGGCUUAACUGGGGGCGUGCGGUGGGUACGGGCUGACUUGAGUGCGGUAGGGGAGACUGGAACUCCUGGUGUAGCGGUGGAAUGCGCAGAUAUCAGGAAGAACACCGGUGGCGAAGGCGGGUCUCUGGGCCGUUACUGACGCUGAGGAGCGAAAGCGUGGGGAGCGAACAGG
rnacentral:rRNA from 1 species